rnacentral:rRNA from 1 species
UACGUAGGGAGCGAGCGUUGUCCGGAUUUAUUGGGCGUAAAGGGCGCGUAGGCGGUUAAGUAAGUCGGGUGUUAAAUCUCCAAGCUCAACUUGGAGCUGCCACUCGAAACUGCUUUGACUUGAGUCUGGUAGGGGAACACGGAAUUCCUGGUGUAGCGGUGAAAUGCUUAGAUAUCAGGAGGAACACCAGUGGCGAAGGCGGUGUUCUGGGCCAGUACUGACGCUGAUGCGCGAAAGCGUGGGGAGCGAACAGG